UCCGGUGCUUAAUUCCUUUGAGCCAUUUACUUUUCAUGUGGAGAGGACACGGUGUUGAUUCCCGAGCAAGGGUGUAGCAUUUCUUUGCUUUGAAUGAAUAAAAAGUGGAUUAAGUGAGAGUUUAUGGUGAUGGGACGUUCCAAGAGCCUUGCAUCAAUUUAUUUACUUUUCUUUUGGAAUGAAGUAGAUUAGAUGGGAUUAGGUGAGUAGUGUACGGUGAGUGUUAGUUUUCUUUUAGAUUAAGUAGCAUUCAUUUUCUUAUUUUACUUGAACAAGGUUUUAUCAUUUAAUUUAUUGUAGCAUAGCUGUUACGGUUUUGAUGCUGGAAGGAGAGUAGGCUUUUAUUUAUUUACAUGGCAUGAUAGAUGGCCUAGCUAGAAGUAGGUGUACGGUUUGGUUUCUUGUGUUUUGGCAAAUUCAUUGCAAUUGAAAAAGAGUGCAGUCGUCACACACUUUGCUG
rnacentral:lncRNA from 1 species